CAAAAGGCUUUUCUAAAGCCAUUCACUUUUAUUGGCACUUUAAA
rfam:Ophiophagus hannah scaffold540.1, whole genome shotgun sequence.